UCUGUAAUAUCAUCUGUGACAGAUGACAAAGAUGAGCUGGAGGAAAGUUCAGAUAAAACCAAGUCUGAUUCAGUGACUGAACCUGGUGAAGCUGAACAUCCACAGCAGAACGAUACAACCACAGGACGAGAGUCUGAAAUAAAGUCUGUACCAUCUGCAACUGAUGAGAAAG